GGGUGUGUUUUGGGGUGUCUAAUUAUAGGUGUAAGGGCUCCAAUUGUUGGCACCUAAAGGAUCUCUUAAAGUAAGUUGGAUAACUUAAGUUAAUAGGAAACUCAAUGCAAGUAGGACUUGUAUUAUAUGAUUGAAUAGGAUUCAAUCCUUAUGCCUAUUUAAAGAGACCUCUCCUAAGAUUCCUAGAGCAUCCAAACCAGCAGCCCCUACUCCAUAGAAGGUCUCCAUGCCCUCUCUUCCUCCCUCUUUCUCUUCUCUCUUAGGCGUUCUACACACCCUUUCUCUUGGGACGCGCAUCCCAAGAUGUUCCAUGCUCAAGGCUAUUAGGUGCCUCUUCCUUGCUGGUUUCUAACAUCUAGUUGCAGCACAUAGUAAGGAGAAACUUUAGAGAAG
rnacentral:lncRNA from 1 species